UACGUAGGGUGCAGCGUUGUCCGGAUUUACUGGGCGUAAAGGGCGUGCAGGCGGUCUGUUAAGUUCAGGGUGAAAGCUCCCGGCUCAACUGGGAGAGGUCCUUGGAUACUGGCAGACUUGAGGGAGGUAGAGGAGAGUGGAAUUCCCGGUGUAGUGGUGAUAUGCGUAGAUAUCAGGAGGAACACCAAUUGCGAAGGCAGCUCGCUGGGACGUUACUGACGCUGAGACGCGAAAGCGUGGGGAGCAAACAGG
rnacentral:rRNA from 1 species